AUGAAUAUCCUAGCAUGGAACUGCUGGGGGGACCGCCGGACAGUUCGUGAGGUUGUGGCCCUCUCGAAAGCCAAUAACCCCAAGCUUGUUUUCCUUUGUGAAACCAAGCAAGCAUCAAAUAAAGUGGAGAAGUUGAGAUGGAGACUUGGUUUGAAGGGUUUCCAUGGUGUGUGUAGUGAUGGUCGGAGUGGAGGUUUAGCGCUCUUU
rnacentral:rRNA from 1 species